ACUCCUACGGGAGGCAGCAGUGGGGAAUAUUGCACAAUGGGGAAACCCUGAUGCAGCCAUGCCGCGUGUGUGAAGAAGGCCUUCGGUUGUAAAGCACUUUCAGUAGGGAGGAAGGUAGUGUAGUUAACACCUGCAUUAUUUGACGUUACCUACAGAAGAAGCACCGGCUAACUCCGUGCCAGCAGCCGCGGUAAUACGGAGGGGUGCGAGCGUUAAUCGGAAUUACUGGGCGUAAAGCGCAUGCAGGCGGCCUGUUAAGUCAGAUGUGAAAGCCCGGGGGCUUAACCUCGGAAUUGCAUUUGAAACUGGCAGGCUAGAGUCUUGUAGAGGGGGUAGAAGUUUCAGGUGUAGCGGUGAAAUGCGUAGAGAUCUGAAGGAAUACCAGUGGCGAAGGCGGCCCCCUGGACAAAGACUGACGCUCAGAUGCGAAAGCGUGGGGAGCGAAACAGGAUUAGAU
rnacentral:rRNA from 1 species